rnacentral:rRNA from 1 species
UAGUUCAGCACUAAGUCACUUUGUCUUAAUGGCAAAUGUGAGAUGCAGUGUAUGGAAUGUCAAAUUUCUAGUAUGAGAAAUUAACGAUUUAAGUCCUUCUUAAAUGAGGCCAUUUACCCAAAGAGGGUGCCAGGCCCGUAUAACGUUAAUGAUUACUAGAUGGCAUUUCCAAAGAGUCGUGUUGCUUGAUAGUGCAGCACUAAGUGGGUGGUAAACUCCAUCUAAAACUAAAUAUAACCAUGAGACCGAUAGUAAACAAGUACCGUGAGGGAAAGUUGAAAAGAACUCUGAAUAGAGAGUUAAAUAGUACGUGAAACUGCUUAGAGGUUAAGCCCGAUGAACCUGAAUAUCCAUUAUAGAAAAUUCAUCAUUAUGAUUUUAAUAUUUAUAAUAUUAUAAUAAUGGUGUGCAUUUUUUCUAUAAAAGGACAUUGUAAUCUAUUAACAUCAAAUAUUUAUCAAAAGAUCAAUUGCAAAUGUUUAUUCAAAUUAUUUUGCUUGCAAUUUAACAUAGAAUAAAUGCUUUUGAUUUGAUAAAGUGUUGAUAGAUUUAUUAUAUAUAGUGCUUGAAUAUUUAUAUUCUAUAAUAGCAUAUUAAUCAUUGAUUUUUAUGUUUAUUAUAUGCACUUAUAUGAUUAACAAUGCGAAAGAUUCAGGAUACCUUCGGGACCCGUCUUGAAACACGGACCAAGGAGUCUAACAUAUUUGCAAGUUAUUGGGAAUAAAAACCUAAUAGCGAAAUUAACAUAACUUAUUUAAUGGGAUUAAUUUUUAGCCUAUUUAUAGUCUAUUAAUUCAAUCCCGGGGCGUUCUAUAUAGUUAUGUAUAAUAAUAUUUAUAUUAUUUAUACCUCUAACUAGAGCGUACCUUGAGCAUAUAUGCUGUGACCCGAAAGAUGGUGAACUAUACUUGAUCAGGUUGAAGUCAGGGGAAACCCUGAUG